rnacentral:rRNA from 1 species
CCCGCUGAACUUAAGCAUAUCAGUAAGCGGAGGAAAAGAAACUAACAAGGAUUCCCCCAGUAACGGCGAGUGAAGAGGGAAGAGCCCAACUUUAAAAUCUCGCGGUUCCACCGCGCGAAUUGUGGUUUAGAGAAGCGCCUUCUGGGUCCGCGAGGGUGCAAGUCCCAUGGAAUGGAGCAUCGGAGAGGGUGAGAAUCCCGUCCACAGCCCGCCGCGGUAUCCUGUGCGAUGCGUCUUCGAAGAGUCGGAUAGCUUGGGAAUGCUGUCCAAAAUGGGUGGUAAACACCAUCUAAGGCUAAAUAUUGGCGAGAGACCGAUAGCGAACAAGUACCGUGAGGGAAAGAUGAAAAGAACUUUGAAAAGAGAGUCAAACAGUGCGUGAAAUUGUCUAAAGGGAAACGCUUGAAACCAGCGCUUGCGCUCGCCGUGAUCAGCCGGUCACCUCGGCCGGUGCACUCAUCGGUGUGGCGCGGGUCAGCGUCGGCUGUACCUGGGGAAGAAAGAUUGGGGAGGGUGCUCUGUCACCAGCCCGCCUUCUGACGCCCUGGGUGCGGCCGAGGAUCGCAGCGAUGCCAACGGGCCCAGUCGUCACCCUGACGCCUCCUGCGGGAACAACUCGUUGAUCUCGUGGGCGGUCCGAAGGGCGGCGGCCGGUCAGGCCACGUCUUCGCUUGGGAUGCUGACGAAAUGGUUUCAAACGACCCGUCUUGAAACACGG